CCCCGAGGAGGGCGGUGGCUGCGGCGGGGGCGGCGUCGGGCGAAGGCGGACACGGAGCCGGGGAGGAGCUGCGGGGCCCGGCAGAGCCUUUCCCGGGAAACAAAACCUGCGGCUUCUCCCGCCUCGGCCCCACGGCGAGGGGCAGCGCAGCAGAGCGGAGCAGCAUCCUAGCAGGGAGAGAGGUGCUAUAAAAGCGCUGCGGGUGCUCGGGCAGGUGAGACAUGACUCGGGAGCAGUCGUGAGAAAUUCCGCAUUUGGAGUUGGGAUCCAAAAAGAAGGAACCUGAAACCGCUUUUUCUGAUACAUCCGUAAGUAAGGGAGGCCAUAUGAAUCUCGCUGCUGUAAGCAGCCAGUAGCUCCCCCGGAUAUUUUAAGUAUUGAAAGUAGUGACUUGUAUUUCCUCUGUGCACAAAGUACUUGUUUGUCCCAUGCAGAAUUCACUGAGGCUGUGAAUUGCAAUUCAGAGCAUCUUCAGGCUCCUACUGCUCGGGGGUGGUGGCGCUUGGUGUGCAGAAAACAUCCCAGGCUGUCCGCCUCGGGUCUGGUUGUGCAUUUCCACAGCUCCUCAGAGUGUGAAAAGGCCAGGAAGGUGGUGGGAAGGGCUUUCUCCCAGGCCUGGGCAUUCUCAAGACACCUUAACGUUUGUUAUCUUUUUGUUUCCCAGCCCAGGGCUAAGUUGGAGAAAAGGCAGAGAGGAUGCUAAGUGGGAAUUCCAUUUUUAAAUCUGCCCUUGAAAUGCUGUUUCUCCUGGCAGAUCUGUGCUACCUAAAGUACAAAGGAAGAAGAUGUUGGGAGUACCUAUUUGUUCACCUGUUGUGCUUGGAAGAGAUGUGAAAUUCCAGGGAAGCCGCGCUUGCUGGAGUGACUGAAGGGAGAAGCACCUUGUCCGUAUUCCCCCCACCGGCGCCUGGUGUGGUCCUUUCCUCUCUGGCUCCUUGUUUCCCUCUUUGUCUCUGCAUCCCUCUGUCCUUGCUGUGUGUUCUGCAGUCUGUCUUUUUCUGUGUCCUUCUCCACACCUCACUCACGUGCCUUUUUUAUUCCCUUUGGCUCUCUGCUGAUCCCCGUGCUGUUGUUUCCUGCUGGAUCCUUGUGUCCCGUUUCCUGUGUCCUUUUUCAAUCCCUCUCAUCACAGGUUUUUUGUUUGAGUGGGGUUUUUUGUUUGUUGCUUUUGGUAUUUUUGUUUUGUUGUUGUUAUUUUGUUUUAUCUAUUUCAUCCUACACCCCAUUCUUUUGUUCUUUCUUUUCUUCCUGUGUCCUCUGUGUCACCACUCUCUCUUUCUGCCUCUGGCCUGUGCCUGGGGUUUUGGGGGAGGGAUUUCUGGGACCUGCCCCCCUUUUCUUGUUGCAGCUCCUUUUUGGGAGGGGGUCUAGACCUAGAAAGGCUUCCAAUAAAGCAAGGUGCUGCUGUCCAGGGCA